rnacentral:rRNA from 1 species
CCUAAAUUUUCCAUGGCAAACUGCUCAGUAACACAUGAUCAACUUACCCUAUAGAGAAAAAUAACCUCGGGAAACUGAGGAUAAUGUUUCACAGUUGAAAAGGCUUGGAAAAGUUUUUCAAUUAAAGGGAUAAGAAAAAUGGUUUUUAUCCGCUAUAGGAUAGGAUCGUGCUCGAUUAUGGUUGUUGGUGAGGUAAUGGCUCACCAAGCCGAUAAUCGAUAGGGGCCGUGAGAGCGGGAGCCCCGAGAUGGGUACUGAGACAACGACCCAGGCCUUACGAGGCGCAGCAGGCGCGAAACCUCCGCAAUACACGAAAGUGUGACGGGGUUACCCAAAGUGUUCAAUUUUGAACUGUGGUAGGUGAGUAAUGUCCCCUACUAGAAAGGAGAGGGCAAGGCUGGUGCCAGCCGCCGCGGUAAAACCAGCUCUUCAAGUGGUCGGGAUAAUUAUUGGGCUUAAAGUGUCCGUAGCCGGUUUAGUAAGUUCCUGGUAAAAUCGGGUAGCUUAACUAUCUGCAUGCUAGGAAUACUGCUAAACUAGAGGGCGGGAGAGGUCUGAGGUACUACAGGGGUAGGGGUGAAAUCUUAUAAUCCUUGUAGGACCACCAGUGGCGAAGGCGUCAGACUGGAACGUGCCUGACGGUGAGGGACGAAAGCCAGGGGAGCGAACCGGAUUAGAUACCCGGGUAGUCCUGGCCGUAAACGAUGCAUACUAGGUGAUGGCAUGGCCAUGAGCCGUGUCAGUGCCGUAGGGAAACCGUUAAGUGUGCCGCCUGGGAAGUACGGUCGCAAGGCUAAAACUUAAAGGAAUUGGCGGGGGAGCACCACAAGGGGUGAAGCCUGCGGUUCAAUUGGA